UUGGAAUUGCUAGUAAUCGUGGAUCAGCAUGCCACGGUGAAUACGUUCCCGGGUCUUGUACACACCGCCCGUCACACCAUGGGAGUCGGUAACACCCGAAGUCAGUAGUCUAACCGCAAGGAGGACGCUGCCGAAGGUGGGAUUGACGACUGGGGUAAAGUCGUAACAAGGUAUC
rnacentral:rRNA from 1 species